rnacentral:rRNA from 1 species
UACGUAGGGUGCAAGCGUUAAUCGGAAUUACUGGGCGUAAAGCGUACGCAGGCGGCUAUGUAAGUCAGGUGUGAAAUCCCCGGGCCUAACCUGGGAACUGCAUUUGUGACUGCAUAGCUAGAGUCCGUCAGAGGGGGGUGGAAUUCCACGUGUAGCAGUGAAAUGCGUAGAGAUGUGGAGGAACACCGAUGGCGAAGGCAGCCCCCUGGGAUGAGACUGACGCUCAUGUACGAAAGCGUGGGGAGCAAACAGG